rnacentral:rRNA from 1 species
UACGUAGGGUGCGAGCGUUGUCCGGAAUUAUUGGGCGUAAAGGGCUCGUAGGCGGUCUGUCGCGUCGGAAGUGAAAACUCAGGGCUUAACCCUGUUCGUGCUUCCGAUACGGGCAGACUAGAGGUAGGCAGGGGAGAACGGAAUUCCUGGUGUAGCUGUGGAAUGCGCAGAUAUCAGGAGGAACACCGGUGGCGAAGGCGGUUCUCUGGGCCACUACUGACGCUGAGAAGCGAAAGCAUGGGGAGCGAACAGGAUUAGAUACCCUGGUAGU